rnacentral:rRNA from 1 species
AUAAACGCUGGCGGCGUGCUUAACACAUGCAAGUCGAACGAAGUUUUUCUUUCGGGAGGAACUUAGUGGCGGACGGGUGAGUAACGCGUGGGUAACCUGCCCUGUACAGGGGGACAACAGCUGGAAACGGCUGCUAAUACCGCAUAAGCCCUUAGCACUGCAUGGUGCAUAGGGAAAAGGAGCAAUCCGGUACAGGAUGGACCCGCGUCUGAUUAGCCAGUUGGCAGGGUAACGGCCUACCAAAGCGACGAUCAGUAGCCGAUCUGAGAGGAUGUACGGCCACAUUGGGACUGAGACACGGCCCAGACUCCUACGGGAGGCAGCAGUGGGGAAUAUUGCACAAUGGAGGAAACUCUGAUGCAGCGACGCCGCGUGAGUGAAGAAGUAUUUCGGUAUGUAAAGCUCUAUCAGCAGGGAAGAAAAUGACGGUACCUGACUAAGAAGCACCGGCUAAAUACGUGCCAGCAGCCGCGGUAAUACGUAUGGUGCAAGCGUUAUCCGGAUUUACUGGGUGUAAAGGGAGCGUAGGUGGCAAGGCAAGCCAGAAGUGAAAACCCGGGGCUCAACCGCGGGAUUGCUUUUGGAACUGUCAUGCUAGAGUGCAGGAGGGGUGAGCGGAAUUCCUAGUGUAGCGGUGAAAUGCGUAGAUAUUAGGAGGAACACCGGAGGCGAAGGCGGCUCACUGGACUGUAACUGACACUGAGGCUCGAAAGCGUGGGGAGCAAACAGGAUUAGAUACCCUGGUAGUCCACGCCGUAAACGAUGUCGACUUGGAGGUUGUGCCCUUGAGGCGUGGCUUCCGGAGCUAACGCGUUAAGUCGACCGCCUGGGGAGUACGGCCGCAAGGUUAAAACUCAAAUGAAUUGACGGGGGCCCGCACAAGCAGUGGAGUAUGUGGUUUAAUUCGAAGCAACGCGAAGAACCUUACCUGCUCUUGACAUCCCAUUCGAUAGAGGGUAAUGCCUCUAGCCCUUCGGGGGAAUGGAGACAGGUGGUGCAUGGUUGUCGUCAGCUCGUGUCGUGAGAUGUUGGGUUAAGUCCCGCAACGAGCGCAACCCUUAUUGUCAGUAGCCAGCAGUUAGGCUGGGCACUCUGAUGAGACUGCCGGGGAUAACCCGGAGGAAGGUGGGGAUGACGUCAAAUCAUCAUGCCCCUUAUGAGCAGGGCUACACACGUGCUACAAUGGCGUAAACAGAGGGAAGCGAAGGAGUGAUCCGGAGCAAAUCUCAAAAAUAACGUCUCAGUUCGGAUUGUAGUCUGCAACUCGACUACAUGAAGCUGGAAUCGCUAGUAAUCGCAGAUCAGAAUGCUGCGGUGAAUACGUUCCCGGGUCUUGUACACACCGCCCGUCACACCAUGGGAGUCGGUAAUGCCCGAAGUCAGUGACUCAACCGAAAGGAGAGAGCUGCCGAAGGCAGGACUGGUAACUGGGGUG